rnacentral:rRNA from 1 species
GGAUACCCUACCCAGACAAACUCCGAAUACUGAUAAGUGAAAAGCUUGGGAGUCAGACUACGGGGGAUAAGCUUCGUUAGUCGAAAGGGAAACAGCCCAGAUCGCCAAUUAAGGUCCCAAAAUCCAUGUUAAGUGUAAAUGGUGGUGUGAUAACACAAACAACCAGGAGGUUGGCUUAGAAGCAGCCAUCCUUUAAAGAAAGCGUAACAGCUCACUGGUCGAGUCGUUGUGCGCCGAAAAUGUAACGGGGCUAAACAUGGUACCGAAAUUACGGGUCAAUAGCAUUAGCUAUUGGCGGUAGAGGAGCAUUCCGAUUGCACCGAAGUCAGAUCGUAAGGUCUGGUGGAGCGGUCGGAAGAGAGAAUGUUGGCAUGAGUAGCAAAAACCAGGGUGAGAAUCCCUGGCACCGCAAAUCCAAGGUUUCCUGGGCAACGUGAAUCGACCCAGGGUUAGUCGGUCCUAAGGCGAGGCCAAACGGCGUAGUCGAUGGACAAGCAGGUCAAUAUUCCUGCACCACGUAUAUAUUGUUUAUAACUGACGCAUCUCAAAGGAAGUAGCGUACUCUGGCUACUUGCGUUUACUUGAGCCUUCGGGCGAUAGGAUGAAGGGAGAAGUCUUCGGAUCAUCCCAACUGCUUUUAGAGAGGUGACAAGAAAAGGUUAUAAGCGCUAAUGUAUGCGUGACCGUACCGCAAACCGACACAGGUGGAUGAGGCGAGUAGCCUCAGGUGUACGAGAGAACCCUCGUUUAGGAACUCGGCAAAACAGCGGCCGUAACUUCGGGAUAAGGCCCGCCCCUAAUCUACAUUUAGCUCUCAAGAGCUUAAACAUUUCAGGGGCGCAUGAACAUAAGCAGGAUUAAAAAAAUAGGGCAGUGCCCAAAAGUUUCCUCGCACGUGCUUCAUGCGCCUCACCAUUUCUUGAGAAUUAAAUGUAGAUUUGGGGGCCGCAGCAAAAGACUCCAAGCGACUGUUUACCAAAAACACAGGUCCAUGCUAAAUCGAAAGAUGAUGUAUAUGGGCUGAUGCCUGGCCAGUGUCAGAACGUUAAAGAAGGGGGUUAUCUUCCAUUAGGAGGAGAAGCUUUCGACUGAAGCGCUGAUGAACGCCGGCGAUAACUAUAAUCGUCCUAAGGUACCGAAAUUCCUUGUCGGGUAAGUUCCGACCUGCAGGAAUGGCACAACGAUUUGGAGACUGUCUCAACGAGGGACUCGGCGAAAUUGCAAGAUCCGUGAAGAUGCGGAUUACCCGCAGCCGGACGAAAAGACCCCGUGAAGCUUUACUACAGUUUGAUAUUGGGUUUAGGAUAUGCAUGUUCAGAAUAGGUGGGAGCCCCUUGAUUUAUUUCAAGUGGCGCCAGUGAGAUACCACCCUUGUAUGUUUUGAAUUCUAACUUACUACCAUGAAUCUGGUAGAAGGACAGUAUCUGAUGGGUAGUUUGACUGGGGCGGUUGCCUCCUAAAAAGUAACGGAGGCGUUUAUAAGGUUGACUAGGUCCGAAUAGAAAUCGGGCUGAUAGGGCAAACCCAUAAGUCAGCUUUACUGCAAGACUGACACGUCGAGCAGUUGCGAAAGCAGAAGUUAGUGAUCCGACCGUGCGAUAUAGGACGGCGGAAGCUCAUCGGAUAAAAGUUACUCCGGGGAUAACAGGCUGAUCUCCUCCAAGAGUCCACAUCGACGAGGAGGUUUGGCACCUCGAUGUCGGCUCGUCGCAUCCUGGGGCUGAAGAAGGUCCCAAGGGUUAGGCUGUUCGCCUAUUAAAGCGGCACGCGAGCUGGGUUCAGAACGUCGUGAGACAGUAAAGAUAGCGACCCAAACGCGAACCAAAAAAACAUCGAUGGAAAAUCAAAUCUAUUGGAUAAAGAUCAAAUACAUCCCAAACAAUUAUCUUUUCGUUCAAAUAAUUAAAUUCAUACAAUAUGUAUUGUAUGACGACCGUGCUGUCGUUAAAUUCGGCUAUAUGCUGGAAAGUCUGAAAACUAUGCGUCUAUGGAGAAUGCAUAGAAAAGAAUCUUGCGCUACUAGAAAUUUAUUUUUAGUAACAAUGCGCCAGUGCAGAUAAUCAGCAGGAAAGACUUACCCAA